CAGUACCUUGUUUCACAGGAAGGAUUUGAAAAUAGUAGGUUUGAGUUUAGAUGAAAUCUGUAAAGAUGCAUCUUCUUCUAGUAGUGAUUCAGCCUAGAGCAGAAGCAUAUACAGCAAGAACUGGGCAAGAAGACAGGCUGGCUCAGAUUUUAAAAGGAAAAACAAGAUUCUGCUUUCAGAAAUACAGCGUAAGAAAUCUGCCCUGCCAAGGGUUUGCUCAUCUCUCUGAAUGUGUUACAUUACUUCAACAAACAGAGCAAUGAAGACAGAUUCUGCAGAGAGAGAAUUAGAAGGAUCACCUUACUUUGCAGCUAACUUGGAACACAGAGAUUCUCCCUUCCGUUAACAGUACGUCUCCGAUUAUAUCCACUGCAGUUACGAUACGGAAAGUUAAGCUCUUUUGUACAUUACCACCAUAAAAAUAAAGCCACUAAAAUACAACUUAAUUUCAUACUGAAAAAAGCUAGCAGAGUAGUUAUCCAAAGGUCAUACCAUAAUGUGUAAUACAGUUCAAUUCAGUUAAAAGGCACUGGUGUUUCUCAAUAAAAGUCUUCGCACAGCCAAAUGAGGAAAAGAUGAAGACCAGAACACUACCUUUAGAGCAGACACAGGAAAUCUACGCUAAACACACUGAAGGCAGUACGAAAGAAGAGUUUACUGAUUCUCUCCAAAAUACAGCUACUUAUCUUUUCACUUAUCCUGCAUCCAUUUGCUGUCGGUGUCAAAUAGGACAUCCACCUUCUGUUUUACCUCCUACAUCUGAUCUGAACAAAGCAGCUGUAAGUGCAGAGUCUCCAGAGCCCAGAAAUUAUUCAUAUCCCUAAUAACACAAAUACACUACACACUAUGAAAGAAUAGAAUGCUAUUUUUCAUAGCAGGUUGAAUACAAUAGUUACAGAGAUUCUAAAAAUUCCCGAAGACUUUACAUAUGAUCCCUCCUCUCAUAC